GGGCCUGUAGCUCAGUUGGCCAGAGCGCUGCGUUUACACCGCAGAGGUCGUCGGUUCGAGACCGGCCGGGCCCACCG
rnacentral:tRNA from 2 species